rnacentral:tRNA from 1 species
CAUUAAGUAACUAUGUACCAGCACUAGCCUUUUAAGCUAGCGAAAGAGGACUACUUCCCCUCCUUAAUGA